GCCAAACUAUUUUUACCUUAGACUUUUUUACGCAAUAACUACAAAAUAAUUACUUUAUUUUUGACUGAAAAUAUUCACAUCGGAUGGACUUCAAAGAGAAUAAUAAAGAGUAAUUAUAAUACAACAAAUAUUACACCGGAAAUUAUGCAACCCAGAAACAUGAAACCUUAAAAAUGUUGAAUGAUACGACACCGUUACCGGAACUAACUCCAAGUAGUUUGAUAAUACCUCCGGCUAAAUAUCAAUUGUCGCCGCAUCCAGAGAGUGGGAGUCUCCGUAUAUCUUGCUUUACAUUGGACCAAGGCACUGGCGUUAAGAUUCGUUCAUGGGGACGCGAUCUCAAAGAGGCGUACCAGCAAUGUGGCAUGGCACUGCUCCACUAUAUCACAAAUCCCUCAGAUAUAGAAAUAAAGACAAUUAAUGUUAUACAUUGUUACGGGGAAGAUUUAAUUUCGCUUUUGGAACAUUACCUUACCCAAAUAGUGUUAAUUUACAUAACUAAACCGAAUUGGCUGACACGAAAGGUGGAAAUUGUUGAUUUUCUUAAUGCCGGUUACAAUAUAACUUGUUAUUGUUAUGGAGAACAAUAUAUAGAUUACGGGAAUAAACAUAAUAACGUCCCCAAAGUAAAAAACCCUAAAUUCUCGUAUAUGCAAAUUUGUAAUGAACCAGAAAAUAAAAGAUUCGAAAUAUUUAUUACAAUUGAUCCUACACUUCCGAAAGACAGGUUCUACAAUUUUCAAGACUAAUCCCACUUUGAUGGUUAAAAAUAGAGAAAUGCAUUGAAAUGUAGAAAUCUUUUGGUUUUAUUUUGAUAAUAAUAAUAAUAUAAUAAAUCAUUUAUUUCUGAUGUCUAUG